rnacentral:rRNA from 1 species
CUGACCUAUCAGCUUUCGACGGUAUGGUAUUGGCUUACCGUGGCAGUGACGGUUAACGGGGGAUUAGGGUUCGAUUCCGGAGAGGGAGCCUGAGAAACGGCUACCACAUCUAAGGAAGGCAGCAGGCGCGCAAAUUACCCAAUUCUAACAGUUUGAGAGAGGUAGUAACAAGAAAUAACAAUACAAGGCAGUUAAAAUGCUUUGUAAUUGGAAUGAUAGAAAUUUAAACCCUUUUUAAAGUAUCAAUUGGAGGGCAAGUCUGGUGCCAGCAGCCGCGGUAAUUCCAGCUCCAAUAGCGUAUAUUAAAAUUGUUGCAGUUAAAAAGCUCGUAGUUGAAGUUCUGCUGAAAGUAACCGGUCUGCUUUUAAUAAAAGUGGUAUCUUGGUAUGUAUUUAGCAAUGAUGUCCUUUGAAGUGUUUUUUACUUUAUUGUAAUAAAGCAUAUUCAGGACUUUUACUUUGAGAAAAUUAGAGUGUUUCUAGCAGGCUGACGCUUUGAAUACUGCAGCAUGGAAUAAUAAGAUAGGAUUUUAGUUCUACAUUAUUGGUUUUAAGAGCUAAAUUAAUGAUUGAUAGGGACAGUUGGGGGCAUUUGUAUUUAACUGUCAGA